AGCGAACGCUGGCGGCAGGCUUAACACAUGCAAGUCGAGCGGGCCCUUCGGGGUCAGCGGCGGACGGGUGAGUAACGCGUGGGAACGUGCCUUCUGGUCUGGAAUAACCCUGGGAAACUAGGGCUAAUACCGGAUACGCCCUUUUGGGGAAAGGUUUACUGCCGGAAGAUCGGCCCGCGUCUGAUUAGCUAGUUGGUGGGGUAACGGCCUACCAAGGCGACGAUCAGUAGCUGGUCUGAGAGGAUGAUCAGCCACACUGGGACUGAGACACGGCCCAGACUCCUACGGGAGGUAGCAGUGGGGAAUAUUGGACAAUGGGCGCAAGCCUGAUCCAGCCAUGCCGCGUGAGUGAUGAAGGCCUUAGGGUUGUAAAGCUCUUUUAUCCGGGACGAUAAGGACGGUACCGGAGGAAUAAGCCCCGGCUA
rnacentral:rRNA from 1 species